ACACCUUGAUUUUGUACUUCUAGCCUCCAAAACUGUGAGAGAAUAAAUUGCUGUUGUUUCAAGCCAUCCAGUUUGUCAUACUUUAUUAUGGCAAAUCUAAGAAAC